rnacentral:lncRNA from 1 species
GCUUAUUUUCUGAAUAAAAAUUCUCUCAAAAGAAUUAAUUUUAUUAAAAGUUUAUUCUCAAAUAUUUAUUCAGGUCUGCAAGUAACAAGGUAAGAGAAAAUCCCAUGGUUUUAAAAACCGAACCGGACCGGCCGGUCGGACCGGUCCAACCGUCGACCGGUGAACUAUCCGGUUCGGUCCGCUCAAUGAACCGUUUUGUUAUCAAACCGGCAUUGAACCGUUUAAACCGACGGUUGGACCGUCGAACCGAACGACCCGUCCGGUUUUUUGCAAACCGGUCAUAACUUAAAACAAGUUUUUUUUACUAUGAAAAGGCCAUUCCAGGCCCAAUGCUUACAACUAAAUCUAAUAAACCAUCUUUGGUCCUAGCCACUAAGGCCCAGUCCAAUGAAAAGAUUAAAACACUAUCAUUUGGGCCAUGUCUUCAAGCCCAAUUUGCAGCAUUCUUUAUUUAAAAAUAACACUUGCAUUUGGGUCAUGCUUCCAGGCCUAGCUUG